CCUUCGAUAGCUCAGUUGGAAGAGCGUGAGACUGUAAUGGUUAACCUGGAACAUCUCAAGGUCACUGGUUCGAUCCCGGUUCGAAGGA